rnacentral:rRNA from 1 species
UACGAAGGGGGCUAGCGUUGCUCGGAAUUACUGGGCGUAAAGGGCGCGUAGGCGGCUUAGUUAGUCAGGCGUGAAAUUCCUGGGCUCAACCUGGGGACUGCGCUUGAUACGGCUAGGCUAGAGGAUGGAAGAGGGUCGCGGAAUUCCCAGUGUAGAGGUGAAAUUCGUAGAUAUUGGGGAAGAACACCGGUGGCGAAGGCGGCGACCUGGUCCAUUACUGACGGCUGAGGCGCGAACAGCGUGGGGAGCAAACGAGGA